rnacentral:ncRNA from 1 species
AUGCUAAGGUUGUAUAAGUGUGAGUAACUUAACAUACAGCCUUAAGUAAAAGUUAAUCUUUUACUAAAAACCUUCAAAUUGACGGGAAAACCUUAAAGUAAUUUUAACCAAACAAGAAUGGAAACGUAAAGGUGAAUAACUUCUUGUGGCACAGAUAAUAACUUGUGGUGUGGUAAAAUAAAAAUUAAUAACCGAAAGGAAAUAGGUAAUCCGCAGCCAAGCACCUUUUAGGUGUGCAGUUCAUCGACUAAAUGUAGGUUGACACUCCUAUAGGAUUGUUUAAGAUAUAGUCAAGCCUCAUCCGAAAGGAUGCA